rnacentral:rRNA from 1 species
GACGAACGCUGGCGGCGUGCCUAAUACAUGCAAGUUGAGCGCUGAAGGUUGGUACUUGUACCAACUGGAUGAGCAGCGAACGGGUGAGUAACGCGUGGGGAAUCUGCCUUUGAGCGGGGGACAACAUUUGGAAACGAAUGCUAAUACCGCAUAAAAACUUUAAACACAAGUUUUAAGUUUGAAAGAUGCAAUUGCAUCACUCAAAGAUGAUCCCGCGUUGUAUUAGCUAGUUGGUGAGGUAAAGGCUCACCAAGGCGAUGAUACAUAGCCGACCUGAGAGGGUGAUCGGCCACAUUGGGACUGAGACACGGCCCAAACUCCUACGGGAGGCAGCAGUAGGGAAUCUUCGGCAAUGGACGAAAGUCUGACCGAACAACGCCGCGUGAGUGAAGAAGGUUUUCGGAUCGUAAAACUCUGUUGGUAGAGAAGAACGUUGGUGAGAGUGGAAAGCUCAUCAAGUGACGGUAACUACCCAGAAAGGGACGGCUAACUACGUG